rnacentral:lncRNA from 1 species
UCUAUUUCUCACAAAUCAUAAUACCGCAGAGCGAUUCACAAAGCGGCUGUCCUUUCAUGAACCCCUUCUCCGCCCCAGGCUGUGCGAGGAGGAGCUGGACAUGACUCAUGAAGGCCCACAACAACCCAUGAGCUAGCCGCCUCUGUCCUCUUCUGUGGGUCCAGAUAGGCUACAGAGACCUUAAGUUACAGAGGCAGGAUUCUGACCGAGCAUGUUUGACUCCAAAGUGCACGUUCUUUCCACGGCCUUCCAGCCCCACAGUACAGGCGGCUCUGCCUCCAGAGAGCACUGACCAGUUGGCCCACAAUGCGUGUGUGUGGCAAGGGGUGAAGGGUUAAGAGGAGAAAGUUCUAUUCCCGGCAAGAACAAGAUGUUUCCUCUACCAGAAUUGGCGGGAGACAGCCAGCGCCCAGCCAGAGGGACCAGUCAAGCAGAUGCUUAUCAUAAGCCAGAGGACAACCCCCUUCUACGUUCAUCUGGAAUCACGGAGGUCAGCUGCCUCACACCUCAGGCCAAGAGAGGGAGUGGUGACACUGUGGCACUGAGAGAAUGAGGACUGACUCUGAAGGGCUGGCUAAUCCCUCCUGGGAGCAGGGAAUGAGGACAGUGCUGAAAGCAAUUUUGAAUGCUUUUGUUUGUGACCACCAAUUCUUUGUCAUUUUCCCCCUACAAAGUAUGUUACAAAGUAACCUGUGAGAUGACUGCAGUGAAAUUACAGGUUACAGCGAAAACAUGGUCAGGGCAAGGAGCUUCCCAGUGGGAAUACUUUCUUUUUCAUUUUAUAAAAAAAUAAAAGCUUUGUACUAAGAAAUUAAACUAUUUUUAUGUUUUGUACCUCACUGGUAUAUUAAAUACCGUUUAUUAAGAUGCUUUUAAUUCAGGAAAUGUUGAAAUGAAACAUUGGCCCCCUAGCAAAUCGAAUUUCGAUGAUUAAUUCUGACGUAGUGGACAGGAAUCACGGGAAGACACGUGCUGUGACUCAGAUUACAAGAAGAGCAGCAGCCACCCGUAGCGGCAGGGAGGCCGAGAGGAGACGGACGUCAGCGGAGGAGGGAACGGGCAGAUGCGGCCAUAGAAACAGCCGCAGGGAGAGACAGAGAAAGGGAGGGGAGCCCGUGGGAACUAAGGGGAACAGGCAUGUGACUGAGCCCCUUUGAGCAUUCCUUGUAACCCCAAAGAUAAGUACCGACGCCCAGGAGUUUUUCUCUAGGCAAGAAGGUGCGGAGGACAAAGGUUUCGAUGAGCAGAAAACGGAAGACCUGAGCUGCUCUCCUAACUCCUAUGGUGACGCCCCCAAACCGUUGCCCACACUUCAGCCAGAGCGACACCAUGAACCCAAAUGGUCUCCCCACAUCCCUCCUCUGCUUAAAACACUUCAAGAGUAAAAUCCUCAACAAGGCCUAAGCAUCCUGUCUGAUCCAGUCCAGGCCUCUCUCUCCAGCCUCCUCUCCAGCUGCCUCCCUCUCUGAGCUACAGCCUCCUGGCCUGCGCUCAGGGCCGCAGAUACUCCGCAGGCCCCCUGCCCCCGAAGC